CCGACCUGCACGAAUGGCGUAAUGAUGGCCAGGCUGUCUCCACCCGAGACUCAGUGAAAUUGAACUCGCUGUGAAGAUGCAGUGUACCCGCGGCAAGACGGAAAGACCCCGUGAACCUUUACUAUAGCUUGACACUGAACAUUGAGCCUUGAUGUGUAGGAUAGGUGGGAGGCUUUGAAGCGUGGACGCCAGUCUGCGUGGAGCCGACCUUGAAAUACCACCCUUUAAUGUUUGAUGUUCUAACGUGGAUCCGUAAUCCGGGUUGCGGACAGUGUCUGGUGGGUAGUUUGACUGGGGCGGUCUCCUCCUAAAGAGUAACGGAGGAGCACGAAGGUUGGCUAAUCCUGGUCGGACAUCAGGAGGUUAGUGCAAUGGCAUAAGCCAGCUUGACUGCGAGCGUGACGGCGCGAGCAGGUGCGAAAGCAGGUCAUAGUGAUCCGGUGGUUCUGAAUGGAAGGGCCAUCGCUCAACGGAUAAAAGGUACUCCGGGGAUAACAGGCUGAUACCGCCCAAGAGUUCAUAUCGACGGCGGUGUUUGGCACCUCGAUGUCGGCUCAUCACAUCCUGGGGCUGAAGUAGGUCCCAAGGGUAUGGCUGUUCGCCAUUUAAAGUGGUACGCGAGCUGGGUUUAGAACGUCGUGAGACAGUUCGGUCCCUAUCUGCCGUGGGCGCUGGAGAACUGAGGGGGGCUGCUCCUAGUACGAGAGGACCGGAGUGGACGCAUCACUGGUGUUCGGGUUGUCAUGCCAAUGGCACUGCCCGGUAGCUAAAUGCGGAAGAGAUAAGUGCUGAAAGCAUCUAAGCACGAAACUUGCCCCGAGAUGAGUUCUCCCUGAGACUUAGAGUCUCCUGAAGGAACGUUGAAGACGACGACGUUGAUAGGCCGGGUGUGUAAGCGCAGCGAUGCGUUGAGCUAACCGGUACUAAUGAACCGUGAGGCUUAACCUUACAACGCCGAAG
rnacentral:rRNA from 1 species